GACGAACGCUGGCGGCGUGCUUAACACAUGCAAGUCGAACGGAAAGGCCCCUUUGGGGGUACUCGAGUGGCGCACGGGUGAGUAACACGUGAGUAACCUGCCCUUGACUUCGGGAUAACUUCAGGAAACUGGGGCUAAUACCGGAUAGGAAUCCUUGCUGCAUGGUGGGGGUUGGAAAGCUUCGGCGGUUUUGGAUGGACUCGCGGCUUAUCAGCUUGUUGGUGGGGUAGUGGCUUACCAAGGCUUUGACGGGUAGCCGGCCUGAGAGGGCGACCGGCCACAUUGGGACUGAGAUACGGCCCAGACUCCUACGGGAGGCAGCAGUGGGGAAUAUUGCACAAGGGGCGGAAGCCGGAUGCAGCAACGCCGCGUGCGGGAUGACGGCCUUCGGGUUGUAAACCGAUUUCAGCAGGGGCGAAGCUUGUGGUGACGGUACCUGCAGAAGAAGCACCGGCUAACUACGUG
rnacentral:rRNA from 1 species